ACAACUCGCCGGUGAACCGAUUGGAAGUUCCAUAUACUAGUAGUACAUACUACUAAUUAACUUACAAAACACGAACAGAGGGAGUGGACUAACUUAGCUAACACGCACCCUCCUCCCUCCACAUCAUCCAACACCAUGGAGUCCAUGAGAAGCUACCAAGACGCAGAGACUUGGGAGAGAGCCGAAAUAGUCUCGCAAGGACACACACUCACUGGGGUAAACUUAACCAGGGAAAGAUUCGCAAAGGAAACUAAAGACAAGCCGCCAAAUAAUUCCACAGCCGAUCUCGCCUUCUUCUUCGUCCUGCCCUCCCGUCGCCCCUCGCCACUUGCUACGUACGUACGGUCGCUCUCGGCUCCGCGAGCUUGGGCCACGCUCCUCACUUGUACUCCAGG
rnacentral:lncRNA from 1 species